ACGCAAGCAAUUAAGCCCAUUGCACUCUCUGCCCCAUGGGGCCUGGUGUGCAAUAACUGCAGACAGCAAGCAGUCUCCUCAGUAGUGUCUGCAGCCUGUGGCUUGUAUGGGCUAUUCCAAGGAACUUUGGAGACAGUC
ensembl:snoRNA SNORA70 Small nucleolar RNA SNORA70